UUUUAUGAAAAAUAAGUAACAUACAACAGUAUGGCAUAGUGGUUGAGGGUAUAAUUCUGAGCCAGGCUGCCUGGGUUCAUUUCCUAGAUCUGCUCUUUUCUAGCUGUGUGAACUUGGGGAAAGUAUUUGACUUUAUUGUGUUUCAAUUUCCUCAUCUAUAAAAUGGGAUUAGUAUCUACUUUGCAGGUUUGUUGUGAUGAUUAAAUGAGUCAGCAAACAUAAACUUCUUAGAACUGUGGCUGGCAUAUUGUUAAUCCUUAAUGAGUGUUAGCUGACGGAAUGAAUAGCAAUAUUUAUUGAGAACUGUCAGACACCAAGGAUAUCCAUCAUCCGGAUCCAGCUGGAGUCGGAGCAGAAGGCCUGUUAACCUAUGGAAACAAAGGGUUCCAAGAAAUCAAGAAAUGUGCCCAAGGUCACCCAGCCAGAACUGGAACCCGGGUUUCAAGAUCUCCAGCCCAGAUUUGGUCCCCUGCACCAAGCUAAGGAGCUGAACGCUGAUGGUGAAGCGCCCGGCUCCAUUCACACAUGGCCAGCCUCCUCCCUGCCCUAGUCCCCUCUGGAGCUUUCUGUGAUUCCCUUCCCCGCGCUGCGGUCACUGCUUCUAUUUCAAUCUGACUUCUCUGGGCGGCCGGAGUAAAAAGCCAGAGCCUGAGCAAAACACGCCUGGUCAAGCACGGUACUAUGUGGUCCCAGGAGCAGAAAAGAGGCAGGACUGUCUUACUCCCUCUGGACUUUCCACCCUAGGGUCUCAGCUCCAUGCUUGUGGCUCCAGACAAAACUGUUAAGGAUUUCCUUGCCAAGGGAUGAAUAGAAAAAAUAAACCUACACCAUACCACGUAAGCUACAUACCAGACAUUCCACGGCUGGUUUGCAUUGUAGGUGAUUGGCCACAGGCUUCUCUCGCUCACCAGCGGCAGAUGUCUGAGAGCUGGGAAGCAGACUGGGGGAGGCGGGAGGGGAGGACCUGGGCUCCAGCUGCUCAUCGCAGAGUAUGGAAGCAUGACUGAGACCUCUGCUGUCCACAGGUAUGUCUGUUACCAUUUUCCAUCCCCAUCAAGCAAGCCAUACAUUGGAAUGCAGGCAUUACCGACAUCACACUCCAGGGCUGCGUCACAGAUUCAGUCAUUCCAGUAUUUAUGGAAGACCUACUAGGAGUCUGGUACCAUGAUAGGCCUACAGGAGAGCACCUAACUUGAAAGUGGAAGAAAUGGGGUUUUCUUUGGUCAUAUUUUCAAGAUUGCUUUUAAGGAGGUAUGCGGGAAUGAGGAAACAAAAUUUUGCCAAGUGCCCCACACGGGGCAAAUCCUUGCUGGCCCUUCUCCACAAGGCUGCUGUCUGGGGUCAGUGACAGGGCACUGGCAGCAGGACCAGCUCAGGCUGGCUUAAGCAUGGCAGGAAUGCACUGGGUUAGGGACUGGGGAUUCUGGAAGAAUCAGAGUUAGGCUGAUCCACAAAGUCACCAAAGAAAUGGAUUCUUUGAUCAUCUUCAUUCUGCCACCCUCGGGGCAGGUUCCGAUCCGAGGCCGGCUCUGCCUGUGGGCAAAAGGGGAUCUUCAUUCACCACUGAUGGGGGAAAGGCUGGUGCUUCCGGCAGACGUUUCCUCCUGGCUCCUUGGCCAGAUGAGGCCCGCUCUUGACUUGAGGUCAUCGCCCCUAAAAUAUUGCUUUGGCUGCAAAGGGGUGGGGGAAGUAAAAGUUGGGGAGAUGAGUGCCAUGUCCAGUAUUAUGACCCCAUAGGCUUGGAAGAGACUUGCUCAAAGCCAUAUUGAUCUGAAGUCCGAAGCCUCCAUGUAUGUUCUUUUCACUUCAUCGUGCUGCCUUAAUGAGGCAAGGAAAGGGGAGAAGGGGGGCUGGGGAGUGGAAUUUCAGGUGUCCCUUUGAGGCAACGGAGCUGCUGGAGGAAACUGGGUUUAUUAAAGAAAUCUCCUCCCACUCUGCAGCCCCUUUUCUUCCAGAUGCCCUUCACAUUCCACUGGGAUUGGAGCUACGGGCCCCAUGUUACAGGGAUCAACUCAGAGCAUCCGAGGCCCUUUCAAUCUUCCAUUAACAGCCCCCUUCCAGCUGCAGCCCAUCUUCUGGAUUUUGUGGAACAAUGGCCAGCAUCCUCUGGGCAAGAGGUUUCAGUGUAUUUAGGGUCAAGUUGUGUUUCCCUGCAGCCGUGUUAGGAAGGUAACCCUGGGAAAGCAAUUUUUAGAGGAACUAUUUUAGCAACAGUGGUGCCCUGUGGCAUGGUGGGGCCACAUGAGGGGUGGGGAAGGAAGGUGGCAGCUAUGGUAUGUGGUGAUGGAGAACAAACUUUUUUCUUUUUGCCUGUUCAAGUUCAAGUCAGCCAGAGUCCAAAAUAGGUGAUCCCCAGGUCAUAAACACUGGUUGCAGAUGGCACGGUCUGAAGUUUAUCACCCAGUUUCCCAGGUCUGAUCUUUGGAACAGGAGUAAUAUGUUUUUUACUCCUUUUGGAGACACCCAAUGCACGUGAGAAUCCUACAGGCCCUAAGACAUGUUAGAGAGCCUUCUUAAGUGAUUUGGAGAUCCCAGUUCUGCUGUGUGGCCUCAGGCAAGUCACCCAACCUCUCUGUGCCUCAGCCUUGUCAUCUAUAAAAUGAAGGUAAAAGAGUGCCUAUGUGUCAUGCUUUCCAUGGAUGUGGUAGGGAUUAAAUUAGUGGGUGAGGCAGCAACUGAGGUCAGUGCUGGGCACGAGGUAAGUACACGCUAGGUGUUAGCUGUGCAAGCGCAAACGUCCCCUCCCCUUCAACUACAGCCUGCCCUGACAUCCAGCCCCAGUCUCUCCUGGGGCAGCACGUCCCACUGAGAGGCCCUGGGGCUCAGCUCACGUUAGCUGCCUCAGAUGGAAAAACAUUUCAACUGGCAUGGAGAGCUUCAAUCAUCAUUUUAAGGGGGGAAACAAUCCCUUCGUCGUGGGGCAUCCCAGAGGCGCACUCCUGGUGGCGGGGCUCAUUCUGACAUCGCCCUCCUGUGGACUAAACAUGCCUCCCAUUUUUCUUAGUCUGGUUUCCCCCAAACAAGGCCUCUGGCCAAGCAAUCUGCAGGAAGGAGGGGGUGCGAUCCCAGGAGGUUGCCCUGCUGCCCCCGCUGUCGGAGGUGAACCUCCCUGGUUUAGAGGGGAGCAUGCGCACUCUGCAUCCAGCUGCCUCCCAGUCAGAGUCAGCAAAGCCCUACGGGACUCAGUGGCGCCCUGCGGCUCUGCCUGACACACACGUGCACUCAGCCCCCUACCCCCCUCCUCCUCUCCCACGUGUCUGAGAACCGGGGGGCAGCCCUCAAGGAGGGAUUUCUCACCCAAUGACCCACUCUCCUCCUGCCUUCCACCUUCCUCCCGUGGCCACAAGACUUUCACACAGGUCCGUUCCUUUAAAAGUUUAUUUCUGGUGAAUAAAAAAAAAAAAUAAUUUAUGCGACCAGAUCAGUAAAGACAUUAUGAAAUGGGGCAGAGCUUAACUUUUGCUCCUGGGCUGUGCAGCGUGGCGGGACGGCUGCUGAGUGAAACCCAGCCGUGCGGGGCUUUGUGGAACCAGGGGAUGUCAACGCAGUGACUCACACACAUGCUUCUGGGAGGGCUGGGGGUGGGCUCAGAGGAAGGCCAAACCCCAACUUCUUUUGCAGAAAUGUCUCUUCAGAGUGUUUUUUUAAAUCAGGCAACAGAAGCGCUGUCACAUGCUUGUUCCUAAUGACCACAAACACACCAUACCAGGCAGGCUCAGAAAGACAGGGACGCAGUGCCCAGCCCCCUCAGGGUGGAGCUCGGGAACCCCGCGGGGAAGACGGCCUCCCCCAGAGCCACCUCCUGAGGCCAGCACCUGGAGGAGACUGGAGGUGGGUGCCGAGCGCGAGCACAGCUGUCAGGACCCGACAGCCUCUGGGCCUGAGCGAACAUCUUCCUCCAACUCCUCGGGUCCCCAGUAAGGCUCUCAGAGGCAGCUGCCCCCUCGGGCCGUGGAGGGCAUGCUUCCUCCAGGAGGCUGAGAGCCGAACAUGCUGGUCGUCUGUGCUGGGGCCUUAAGGCCAGAAUCCCCAGGGACCCUGCAGGAGCCCAGAAUCUCAGAGCUGGGGGACACUUUGGGGUUCACUGUAUCAAGGACGAAAUAGGCCUGUUAGUGGGAGGCGCUCGGGUCCCCUAAGAUGCAGACUGCUGCUGGCUCACCACCACUGCCUGCUGCCUGGUGUCCCCUGAGGCUUUGGUUCUGGGGUCAUUUUGGUGGUGGGGUUCACUCGGGGUUGGCAAAUUUUGGUCAUAAUAUUUUGAUAAAUUACAGUAGGCUUUGGUUGCCUGUAAACUCACUGAUGAAACACCCAGAAAGCAAGCAGGGAAAGCCUAUGAAAAGCUGCAGGGGAUUUUCUGUGAUAAAGCACAUGCCACAGCUCAGGUCGGCUCAUCCCUCAAGGCCACGGUGCUCCUCUGCAGGUGGUCUGAGGGCCAUGACACCCAACAGGAGGGCCACCCAGUACUCAAGCUACCUGUGUGCACUGACCACCAGGUCUGCACCUGACUUAACGCCAGCAGAGUUUAAACAAAUGUAGCUUUAGCAUCUUUACCCAGAGACUUUUGAAAGGCAGAACCAAGCAAAAUCCAAACUCCCAACUCAUCCAGAUCAGACUCCUUUUUUGACCUUCAGAGAUAGCAAUUUCUGUCCACAGGAUCAGCCCAAGGCUUCAAAGCCCAGCGUUAGCUCCCCUCGGGAGCACAUCUCCACAUAUCACCUGCUCUGGCUUCUCAGAGGGAUGCAUCUCUAUGCUCUAGGCCAGGGACCACUGUCCCCUGAAACCAUCCUCCUCUUAGAUGCUCUGCAAUGAAAGCUCACAUCCCAAAACGGACCUCAUACCUGCCUUGGAAGACCCGGAAGCCCUCCUCAGGGCCAUGGGGGACCCCUGCAGCAGCUCCUACUGAAUAACGCUCAGAUGCAGCACGGCCUAUGGCCACUUCCCGAGAUGAGACCAGGCCAGUGUGAGGCCACACAGACGCAUAUGCUGAGGGGAUGGGGGAGGGGGGCAAAAGAAAAGCCGGCACCACACCAGCUGGUAACUGGGGACCUACCCCCAAAGCUCCUAGCAGCACAAUACUCCAGGCAGAAGGACAUUAUAAAGGUCCCACAAAAAUAUGUUCAGGCCUGUUCUUUGAAGUAUAAAGGACAGGUUCCAUUCAGCCUGUCUCUGACGGUUUUUUUCUGGUAUCAAAUGCAGUAGAGUUUCUAAAUGACUCUGAGGCAGGGACAGAAAACUCACUGCCUGCCUCUGCCAGGCUCCUGGGAUGCCAGGAAGUGACAAGGGACAGGCGGAGGGGACGAACGGCAACCACAGUCUGGAAAAGGGGGUGGGUGGGAGGGUGGGCUAUGGUGGGGCUCCCGAGUCCUGCUAGGUGAGGCCAGCAGCACAUCGUGACGCUGAGCCUAUAUGCCUGACUCUUAAGAGCCUUAGAAAGCAGCCUGAGCCUGUCUGUGGAGUAUUUCUCCAUCCAUGGGGCCUUCAGUUUUCAUCCUGAAGUCUGAGGGGUACAGCCCAGGGCAGGGAUGAAAAGCUGUUCUAGCUACACUCAAAGAAGGUGAGGCAGGAGUAUGUCAGCUUCUCCCUGAGAGGCCAGGGCCCCACCAGCAACCUCCCGUUCAGAGCUGGUGCCUACAGUCCCAGCUUCCUACACACACUCUCCCCUUGCUUUACAUUUACACUGUCUUGGCUUCCAGACUUCCUCUUGUCUGGAAAAAAAAUAAUCCUAUGUGUGGCCCUUAUAAGGCUCAUAUAUGGGAAACUGUCAGAAGUUUUAUUGUAUGUUAAAACCAUGACAUGGGUUAGAGACUGCUAAAGCAGGACCACUGGGCAAGGUCGCAAGGUCUAGAGGUGACACCUUUUGAGGACCAAAGCGUCGACGUUUACUCGGGGCGGAACUGUGAAAAAACUACACCGUGACCAAAAUACCAGACAUGACACAUGGUGCUGCAGAGAAGCGGAGGGUGGCCUUCAGCAGUUAUCACCUUGGAAACCACGUGCCUCCAUGACCACUGUCUUCCCACCACAAAUUCUGUCAAAGAUACCUGCUCCCCAGCAUUGCACUCUAUCACGAAGCCCAUCAUCCUUCAUGUGCUGCCUUGAGUAAAGGCUGUUUAAAGGUAAAUUCAAGGUCUUCAAAUGCCCUUCCAUGGAGAGGGAGGGGGCUCUGAAGAGGUGGCGGGGGGACAAAUAGGAAAUCUGGCAGAGUGGCAUCCAGAAGAUGGACUCUUAUACCAUGUUUUUCCACUUAUAAGAUGUAAUAAUAAGCAAAACUAUCCCGUGAAAGGUUCUGACUGAUUUCAGGAUGUACCUAGGCUUUAGGAAUAUUAAGACAUAGGAGAAAUGUCCAUCUGGGGAUGGAGGACAUGUGAUAGAUGCUUUCCAAUUCCGAAUCUGACCAUUUUGAAAGCAGAGGAGCCGAUGUGGGACCUGGAAGAUG